AACGAACGCUGGCGGCAUGCCUAACACAUGCAAGUCGAACGAGACCUUCGGGUCUAGUGGCGCACGGGUGCGUAACGCGUGGGAACCUUCCCUUAGGUUCGGAAUAACUCCCCGAAAGGGGUGCUAAUACCGGAUAAUGUCUUCGGACCAAAGAUUUAUCGCCUUUGGAUGGGCCCGCGUUGGAUUAGCUAGUUGGUAGGGUAAAAGCCUACCAAGGCGACGAUCCAUAGCUGGUCUGAGAGGAUGAUCAGCCACACUGGGACUGAGACACGGCCCAGACUCCUACGGGAGGCAGCAGUGGGGAAUAUUGGACAAUGGGCGAAAGGCUGAUCCAGCAAUGCCGCGUGAGUGAUGAAGGCCUUAGGGUUGUAAAGCUCUUUUACCCGGGAUGAUAAUGACAGUACCGGGAGAAUAAGCUCCGGCUAACUCCGUG
rnacentral:rRNA from 1 species